rnacentral:rRNA from 1 species
GAGUUUGAUCGUGGCUCAGGAUGAACGCUAGCGGCAGGCCUAAUACAUGCAAGUCGGACGGGAUCUAUGGCUUCGGCUUUAGUGAGAGGCGGACGGGUGCGUAACGCGUGAGCAACCUACCCCUGCCAGGGGGACAGCCCGGGGAAACUCGGGUUAAUCCCGCAUGUUGCGUUGGGGUCGCAUGACCUUUACGCUAAACAAUUUCGGGGCAUGGAGGGGCUCGCGUGGCAUUAGCUAGUCGGCGGGGUAACGGCCCACCGAGGCGAUGAUGCCUAGGGGCCCUGAGAGGGGGAUCCCCCACACCGGUACUGAGACACGGACUGGACUCCUACGGGAGGCAGCAGUAGGGAAUAUUGGUCAAUGGGCGGAAGCCUGAACCAGCCAUGCCGCGUGCGGGACGAAGGCCCUACGGGUCGUAAACCGCUUUUCCACGGGAACA